rnacentral:ncRNA from 2 species
AAAACAAUUAUAGCGCCUGAGCUAAGGAAAUCGGACGGUCUAUCAUCCUUAGUUGACGAGGUGGAGGUUAUCGAAAUUUCGGCGGAUGCCUCCCGAUCGAAUGCCCGGUCGUAAUUUCGUUUGAAAACAUAAAAGUGAUUUUAUGGACAAAGAAACGAAAAGGCAAAUAC